AGUGAACGCUGGCGGUAGGCCUAACACAUGCAAGUCGAACGGCAGCACAGUAAGAGCUUGCUCUUACGGGUGGCGAGUGGCGGACGGGCGAGGAAUACAUCGGAAUCUACUUUUUCGUGGGGGAUAACGUAGGGAAACUUACGCUAAUACCGCAUACGACCUACGGGUGAAAGCAGGGGAUCUUCGGACCUUGCGCGAUUGAAUGAGCCGAUGUCGGAUUAGCUAGUUGGCGGGGUAAAGGCCCACCAAGGCGACGAUCCGUAGCUGGUCUGAGAGGAUGAUCAGCCACACUGGAACUGAGACACGGUCCAGACUCCUACGGGAGGCAGCAGUGGGGAAUAUUGGACAAUGGGCGCAAGCCUAAUCCAGCCAUACCGCGUGGGUGAAGAAGGCCUUCGGGUUGUAAAGCCCUUUUGUUGGGAAAGAAAAGCAGCAGGUUAAUACCCCGCUGUUCUGACGGUACCCAAAGAAUAAGCACCGGCUAACUUCGUG
rnacentral:rRNA from 1 species